rnacentral:rRNA from 1 species
UUGAAAGGGAAACGAUUGAAGUCAGUCAUGCUAGUGAAAAAUCAGUUUGACGGGUUUUGAGUUCUUGAGUAGAGGCAGGGUCAAACCGUUUCUCUUUUGAACUUGGGAUUUGUUAGAUGUACUUUUUCGUUUGGCAGGUCAACGUCGGUUUCGGGGGUUGUAAAAUACUUGGGGGAAAGUAGCUCUGCUUCGGGAGAGUGUUAUAGACCCUGGGAGAUGCAGCCUGUGGGAUCGAGGAUUGCAGCAAAUGCCUUCUGGCUUGUCGCCUGUUCCUGGGUGUUACCUCUCUUGCGACAACAUUCUUGCCUCUUAGGGUACUAAUGCCUACUGUUUAGUGCGAUCGACAUGCGUUAAGGAUGUUGACGUA